GCUGGCGAGGAUGUGGAGAAACGGGAACCCUCUUGCACUGUUGGUGGGUAUGCAAACUGGUGUAUCCACUCUGGAAAACAGUGUGGAGGCUCCUCAAAAAAUUAAAAAUAGAUCUUCCCUAUGACCCAGCAAUAGCACUGUUAGGCAUUUACCCAAGGGAUACA